GCGUCCUUAGGCGUUGAGCUCCGGGCAGGGGUCCGCCUACCAACAAGGCAGCCAAUGGGCACCGAGCGCGGGAAGCCUGGGGCGGGGCCUGGCCGGCGGGUCUCCCAAGUCGUCCAGGGCUCGGGGAAGCCGCACGGAAUUUCAGGCUGGAGCUGACUAGCAGAGAAAGAAGAUCUGUAUGAGAGACAGGCUUCUGACCUGGAGGGCGCUUUCCUUUUUCGACAAAUAGGUCUUGACUGCGUGAUGGUUCAUACUCCACAGGAUCUAGAAUCACCCAGGAGACCAACCUCUGGGCACAUCUGGGAGGGAGUUUCUAGACUAGCCACAUGAGGUGAAGAAUGCCCUGCUGCUGUGGUGUGCUGGCGUGGUGUGCUGCCCCAGCACCUGGAGUCCAGGAACCAUGGACUGAAGCUCCUGAAACCCUGACCCCGAACAAACCUGUCCUCUUCUGAGUUGUUAGUUGGGUUCUUUCCCACAGUAACAAAGAAAAAUCAAAACAGUAGCCAUCGAGCAAUGCAAAUCAAAACUGUAUCGCCCACAGUGCGAUGUAUAUCAUUUUAAAGAUGCAUAAUAUGUAAUAAAAAGGUAACAAUGUCAUAGUGUAUUUAAUUUAGAAAAUAUUGUAUCAAGUGUCAAGUGUUAUGGACUGAGUUGUAUCCUCUAACAUUAGAUAUUGAAGCUUUAACCCCUGUCAUGUGACUGUAUUUGAGAAAAGGUAUUAAGAGAGGUAAUUAAGGUUAAAUGACAUCAUAAAGGCAGACUCCCAACCCAAUAUAACAGCUGUCCUUAUGAGAGGAAGAAGAGAUAGGCAUAUGUGCACACAAAGAGAAGGCCAUGUGAUGUGAGGGUCGGCACAGUGGUGCACACCUGUAAACCCAUCUUCAGAGAGGCUGAGACAGAAAGAUUGCCAUGAGUGUGAGAUAAAUAGGGAGACCAUCAUUCAAACAAACAAACAAACAAAUGAAACCAUAUCAUCUGCUGACAACUAUCUUGAAUUUCUACCCUCUAGACCUGUGAGAAAAUAAAGUUCUCAUGUUUAAGCCA